CCCUUAGACACUCUAGGCGGCACGCGCGCUACACUGGGUGGAAGAACGUGUUACUGCCAUCGAAAGGUGGGGUGAAUCACGAAUUCUUGCCCGUGAAUGGGAUAGUUUGUUGCAAUUUUCGGACUUGAACUAGGAAUCCCUUGUAAGCAUGCUCAUGAAUAGCGUGUUGAAUACGUCCCUGCCGUUUGUACACACCGCCCGUCGUUUCUUCCGACUGAUACUCAUUGUGAGUUGCAAGGAUCCUUCAUUGGAGAAUUGCCGCGAAUGCUUUGUAUUGGAGGAAGAAAAAGUCGUAACA
rnacentral:rRNA from 1 species